rnacentral:rRNA from 1 species
CCUACGGGAGGCAGCAGUGAGGAAUAUUGGUCAAUGGACGAGAGUCUGAACCAGCCAAGUAGCGUGAAGGAUGACUGCCCUAUGGGUUGUAAACUUCUUUUAUAUGGGAAUAACAUGUUCCACGUGUGGGAUUUUGUAUGUACCAUAUGAAUAAGGAUCGGCUAACUCCGUGCCAGCAGCCGCGGUAAUACGGAGGAUCCGAGCGUUAUCCGGAUUUAUUGGGUUUAAAGGGAGCGUAGGUGGAUUGUUAAGUCAGUUGUGAAAGUUUGCGGCUCAACCGUAAAAUUGCAGUUGAAACUGGCAGUCGUGAGUACAGUAGAGGUGGGCGGAAUUCGUGGUGUAGCGGUGAAAUGCUUAGAUAUCACGAAGAACUCCGAUUGCGAAGGCAGCUCACUGGACUGCAACUGACACUGAGGCUCGAAAGUGUGGGUAUCAAACAGGAUUAGAUACCCCAGUAGUC